UACAGAGGUCCCAAGCGUUGUUCGGAUUCAUUGGGCGUAAAGGGUGCGUAGGUGGCGCCGUAAGUCGGGUGUGAAAUUUCGGAGCUUAACUCCGAAACUGCAUUCGAUACUGCGGUGCUUGAGGACUGGAGAGGAGACUGGAAUUCAUGGUGUAGCAGUGAAAUGCGUAGAGAUCAUGAGGAAGACCAGUGGCGAAGGCGGGGUCCUGGGCCAGUACUGACGCCGAGGAGCGAAAGCGUGGGGAGCAAACAGG
rnacentral:rRNA from 1 species